GAGGGUGUAGUUCAGUGGUAGAGCACAUGCUUAGCACGUACGACGUCCUGGGUUCAAUCCCAGUACCUCCA
rnacentral:tRNA from 1 species